GUUUUAGUAGUAUGUUUAGUUGUUUUGUUGUUAUAAUAGUGUUAUGUUUUUGUUUUGUAUUGUUCCAAUACAAUAACAAUUUCUUCAUAGUCUUUCAGAUAGUCAAGAAGCUCUUUGGAAGGGUAUCUCAACCUCACUCUCACAACUGGUCGAUUCUCUUUUAGCAUAAGCAAAAAGCAAAGCCAGACCCAAAUAUAUUUUUUGCAUAAAUUCGUCGACAUUGGCAAAGUUCAGUGACAAGAGGAAAUAAACUUUCCAUCAGAUCCGAGGCCAUUUUUUUUACUCAAAGUCGCCUAUGUACAUAUUUAUAUACAUAAGUAGCAAAAGGUCAAGGAGUUAUCGGUCAGCGGGAAAAACUGUAACCGAUUUCUCCGCCUGGUAACGCGCUUAAUUUUCGAUUUGCUCCAAGAUAAUUGAUAAGAGACGCCCGAUGCCAGUUCUAGUGACAUAAUAAUACUGCGUUCCGGACGCGGAUUGUUGAUUGCGUACAGUAGCAUUUGUGGGAUUAGUCAACAUUCGCAACGCUAAUUAAAACCCAUAGAAAUUCGCAUCGCAUUUAGCAGAGUAGUGAAAUGGAAGGGGUUUUGGCUGGGUGGCACAGACGUCUUAUCAAGUCAAGGCUUAUCGAUUUCGACCCGUUGCUUCCACCCCAAUAUUUCGCCCCGUGUAGCAACAAAGUGGCGUUCUCUUGAAUCACGGAAUAGUUUCGCAUUUUUUUGUACAUAUGCAAGUCGUCUGGUUGCCGGAUUCGUGUGAACAUAUGUUCCAUACAUUUGUGUGACUAGUUGAUAAUGCUCGCCAAAGAAUCGAAAUUGAAGGCCAAUGGCAGAAAUCCCAGACGCGGCUGAAAAAACCUAAAAAAGGAGGCAUACAACACCAACAUAGCGAGAUAAAAGUUAUGUGUCACUGAAAUUUCGCUACAGGGCGGGUUAUUCUGAAGCUAUGUACAUAAAUGGUUUGGCAUUUCACAUCUCUCAUCUCAAAUACAAAAAACCUGUUUAUAUCAUAUGUACCAUAUCAUUUCAUACAUUGGGUAAAUUUAAGAAUAAAUCAAAAAAUAAUAUCUA
rnacentral:sRNA from 1 species